UACGUAGGGUGCUAGCGUUGUCCGGAUUUAUUGGGCGUAAAGGGCUCGUAGGCGGCGUGUCGCGUCGGGAGUGAAAGCCCGCUGCUUAACGGCGGGUUGGCUUCCGGUACGGGCAGACUAGAGGUAUGCAGGGGAGAACGGAAUUCCUGGUGUAGCGGUGAAAUGCGCAGAUAUCAGGAGGAACACCGGUGGCGAAGGCGGUUCUCUGGGCAUUACCUGACGCUGAGGAGCGAAAGCGUGGGUAGCAAACAGG
rnacentral:rRNA from 1 species